UACGUAGGGUGCAAGCGUUAAUCGGAAUUACUGGGCGUAAAGCGUGCGCAGGCGGCUUUGCAAGACAGAUGUGAAAUCCCCGGGCUUAACCUGGGAACUGCAUUUGUGACUGCAUGGCUAGAGUGCGGCAGAGGGGGAUGGAAUUCCGCGUGUAGCAGUGAAAUGCGUAGAUAUCGGGAGGAACACCAGUGGCGAAGGCGACUACCUGGCCUGUUCUUGACGCUGAGGCGCGAAAGCUAGGGGAGCAAACAGG
rnacentral:rRNA from 1 species